CCUACGGGAGGCAGCAGUGGGGAAUAUUGCACAAUGGGGGGAACCCUGAUGCAGCAAUGCCGCGUGGGUGAAGAAGCACUCCGGUGCGUAAAGCCCUGGCAGCAGGGAAGAAAAUGACAGUACCUGGACAAGAAGCCCCGGCUAACUACGUGCCAGCAGCCGCGGUAAUACGUAGGGGGCAAGCGUUAUCCGGAGUUACUGGGUGUCAAGGGAGCGCAGGCGGCGUGGCCAGUCAGAUGUGAAAACCCGGGGCCCAACCCCGGGAGUGCAUUUGAAACUGCCAUGCUGGCGUGCCGGAGAGGUAAGCGUACUUCCUAGUGUCGCGGUGACAUGCGUAGAUAUUAGGAGGACCACCAGUGGCGUAGGCGGCUUACUGGACGGUAACUGACGCUGCGGCUCGAAAGCGUGGGGAGCAAACCGGAUUAGAUACCCGUGUAGUC
rnacentral:rRNA from 1 species